UUGUUCGGAUUCAUUGGGCGUAAAGGGUGCGUAGGUGGCGUCGUAAGUCAGGUGUGAAAUCUCGGGGCUUAACCCCGAAACUGCACUUGAUACUGCGAUGCUCGAGUACUGGAGAGGAGAUUGGAAUUUACGGUGUAGCAGUGAAAUGCGUAGAUAUCGUAAGGAAGACCAGUGGCGAAGGCGAAUCUCUGGACAGUUACUGACACUGAGGCACGAAGGCCAGGGGAGCAAGCGGG
rnacentral:rRNA from 1 species